rnacentral:rRNA from 1 species
GACAGAGGAUGCAAGCGUUGUCCGGAAUUAUUGGGCGUAAAGAGCGUGUAGGCGGCCCGACCAGUCCGCUGUGAAAGUCCAGGGCUCAACCCUGGAAUGCCGGUGGAUACUGUCGGGCUAGAGUCCGGAAUGGGCGAGUGGAAUUCCUGGUGUAGCGGUGAAAUGCGCAGAUAUCAGGAGGAACACCAAUGGCGAAGGCAGCUCGCUGGGACGUGACUGACGCUGAGACGCGAAAGCGUGGGGAGCAAACAGG